UACAGAGGGUGCAAACGUUGUUCGGAUUUACUGGGCGUAAAGCGUGCGCAGGCGGCUUCUCAAGUCAGGGGUGAAAGCCCAGAGCUCAACUCUGGAACUGCCUUUGAGACUGAGUGGCUUGAGUACGAGAGAGGUGAGUGGAAUUCCCAGUGUAGAGGUGAAAUUCGUAGAUAUUGGGAAGAACACCGGUGGCGAAGGCGGCUCACUGGCUCGUAACUGACGCUCAUGCACGACAGCGUGGGGAUCAAACAGG
rnacentral:rRNA from 1 species